rnacentral:rRNA from 1 species
AACGAACGCUGGCGGCAUGCCUAACACAUGCAAGUCGAACGAGACCUUCGGGUCUAGUGGCGCACGGGUGCGUAACGCGUGGGAACCUGCCCUUAGGUUCGGAAUAACUCCCCGAAAGGGGUGCUAAUACCGGAUAAUGUCUUCGGACCAAAGAUUUAUCGCCUUUGGAUGGGCCCGCGUUGGAUUAGCUUGUUGGUAGGGUAAAAGCCUACCAAGGCGACGAUCCAUAGCUGGUCUGAGAGGAUGAUCAGCCACACUGGGACUGAGACACGGCCCAGACUCCUACGGGAGGCAGCAGUGGGGAAUAUUGGACAAUGGGCGAAAGCCUGAUCCAGCAAUGCCGCGUGAGUGAUGAAGGCCGUAGGGUUGUAAAGCUCUUUUACCCGGGAUGAUAAUGACAGUACCGGGAGAAUAAGCUCCGGCUAACUCCGUG